CAUGAUCUGAGCUGAAGUUGGAUGCUCAACUGACUGAGCCACCCAGAUUUAAGAAAAAUGUUCAUCUUAAGCUAACUGAUUUACAGCAAUUAGAUAAAAUAUACCUUUGUGGACAAAUGGAAACAUUUAUCUUUUCUCUCUACCUGAACCCUCCAGAAUUCAGAAACUCUCAUUUACUGAAGCCCCAGUCAGCGGAGGGGCUCCAGCAGCAAUAGUCAGAUUCCCCAGGCUGGGGAAGGGCCUCUGCAUUAGCACCCCUGACAACACCAAAAGCUGCAUGUCUUGGUUAGAUAGCUCUGAUUAGGAUUCUCAUUGGAAUACUCUGCCGUUAGUGUGCAUGUGGUAUCCAGGGACCUAAAAGUCUAUCCACCAUGAGCAUUUGUAUGUUACAGUGAAUGCCAAAUUGGGAGAAGAAUCAAAAGAAUCUGUUGCUGAUGAAGAAGACAGUGAUGAGGACACUGAACCUAUUGCUGAAUUUAGAUUUGUGCCUCAUGAUAAACCGGGUUGGAGGCAGCGUUCACUGCAAUGUGUGAAUGCCAGGCUUCGUGUCCAGAUCCUGAGGAUGAAGAUUCAGAUGAUUAUGAGGAAGAAUAUAAUGUAGAAGCAAAUGAGCAAGGGCAGGGGACAUCCCUACAUUUUAUAUCUAUGAAGGAGGAUUAUCCCAGGAGCACCCGGUGGCUUAGUCAGUUGGGCAUCCGACUUCGGCUCAGGGCAUGAUCUCACAGUUUGUGAGUCUGA